rnacentral:lncRNA from 1 species
AUGCUCAAAAUUCUCCAAGCCAGGCUUCAGCAAUACCUGAAUCAUGAACUUCCUGAUGUUCAAGCUGGUUUUCCAAAAGGCAGAGGAACCAGAGAUCAAAUUGCCAACAUCCGCUGGAUCAUGGAAAAAGCAAGAGAGUUCCAGAAAAACAUCUAUUUCUGUUUUAUUGACUAUGCCAAAGCCUUUGACUGUGUGGAUCACAAGAAACUGUGGAAAAUUCUGAAAGAGAUGGGAAUACCAGGCCAUCAUACCUGCCUUUUGAGAAAUCUGUAUGCAGGUCAGGAAGCAACAGUUAGAACUGGACAUGGAACAACAGACUGGUUCCAAAUAGGAAAAGGAGUACAUCAAGGCUGUAUAUUGUCACCCUGCUUAUUUAACUUAUAUGCAGAGUACAUCAUGAGAAAUGCUGGGCUGAAAGAAGCACAAGCUGGAAUCAAGAUUGUCAGGAGAAAUAUCAAUAACCUCAGAUAUGCAGAUGACACCACCCUGAUGGCAGAAAGUGAAGAGGAACUAAAAUGCCUCUUGAUAAAAGUGAAAGUGGAGAGAGAAAAAGUUGGCUUAAAGCUCAACAUUCAGAAAACGAAGAUCAUGGCAUCUGAUCCCAUCACUUCAUUGGAAAUAGAUGGGGAAACAGUGGAAACCGUGUCAGACUUUAUUUUGGGGGGCUCCAAAAUCACUGCAGAUGGAGAUUUCAGCCAUGAAAUUAAAAGACACUUACUCCUUGGAAGGAAAGUUAUGAUCAACCUAGAUAGCAUAUUCAAAAGCAGAGACAUUACUUUACCGACUAAGGUCCGUCUAGUCAAGGCUAUGGUUUUUCCUAUGGUCAUGUAUGGAUGUGAGAGUUGGACUGUGAAGAAGGCUGAGUGCCAAAGAAUUGAUGCUUUUGAACUGUGGUGUUGGAGAAGACUCUUGAGAGUCCCUUGGACUGCGAGGAGAUCCAACCAGUCCAUUCUGAAGAUCAGCCCUGGGAUUUCUUUGGAAGGAAUGAUGCUAAAGCUGAAACUCCAGUACUUUGGCCACCUCAUGCAAAGUUGA